rnacentral:rRNA from 1 species
UACGUAGGGUCCAAGCGUUAUCCGGAAUCACUGGGCGUAAAGCGUGCGUAGGCGGACGUUUAAGUGUGAUGUUAAAUCGUGUGGCUCAACCAUAUCGAUGCAUCGCAUACUGGAUGUCUGGAGAAAGGCAGAGGCAAGUGGAAUUGGCAGUGUAGCGGUAAAAAUGCGUAGAUAUUGCCAGGAACACCAAUGGCGAAGGCAGCUUGCUGGGCCUUUUUCUGACGCUGAGGCACGAAAAGCGUGGGGAGCGAACAGGAUAGAAACCCUAGUA